GACGAACGCUGGCGGCGUGCUUAACACAUGCAAGUCGAACGGAAAGGCCCCUUUGGGGGUACUCGAGUGGCGAACGGGUGAGUAACACGUGCGUAACCUGCCCUUGUCUUCGGGAUAACUUCAGGAAACUGGGGCUAAUACCGGAUAGGAAUCCUUGCUGCAUGGUGGGGGUUGGAAAGCUUCGGCGGUUUUGGAUGGACUCGCGGCUUAUCAGCUUGUUGGUGGGGUAGUGGCUUACCAAGGCUUUGACGGGUAGCCGGCCUGAGAGGGCGACCGGCCACAUUGGGACUGAGAUACGGCCCAGACUCCGACGGGAGGCAGCAGUGGGGAAUAUUGCACAAGGGGCGGAAGCCUGAUGCAGCAACGCCGCGUGCGGGAUGACGGCCUUCGGGUUGUAAACCGCUUUCAGCAGGGGCGAAGCUUGUGGUGACGGUACCUGAAGAAGAAGCACCGGCUAACUACGUG
rnacentral:rRNA from 1 species